CCAGUAAGUCAAAGUGUGAGGUGCCUCUAUAAUUCCACUGCAGCAGAAUCCAUCUGGUGUCACUUUGUUACCAUAAUUUUGUCUUGAAGCAAACACAACAUCAAGACGGAAAAACAAGGAAAGUAUAUCUCUGGGUAAGAAAAGACACCAUGAAGUAAAAGUUUAUACAUAAGACUUCAAAGAAGAAGGAGAGCAAUGCUGGUUUCCAGGUUAGGUUUCUGCAACAAAAUUUAAAAGGACCAGCUAAAUAAAUAAUUCAAUUUGUUAUAUCAAAACACACUGCUGACUCACAGAUAUACCUGGAUAUCUCAGGACAGUCUGAGUAGCUGGCUGUGUCACGUGUACAGUUGUGAUCUUGUUCUAUAGGAGCCACUGCAAGGCUGUGUUCAAAGCUGUUUAUAGCUUAGGAGCAAUAGAGCCUCUUGCUCAGACAUGGUGAAUGGGUUGUAGCAUGGGUGCUACAAGUGGAGGCCCCACCGAGAUCUGAGAAAGAAGGGAUCUGCUGAUGGACCACCUGACAGAAGGCUGGCUAGCAUUUUAAAAGAAGGACAAUAACCUUAGAAGCCAUGUACCUCGGACACACACCGCAGCUUCCUGAAGGCACGGAGUAGGACUUGAUACCGUGGAGUGAGAGUGGGAGAGGAGCCAAGACGUUUUCCAGUUUGUACUGUUCUUCCUGGAUCCAGAUACCAAGCUUCCAUUGUGGCCAUGGUUGUGGAGUAGUCCCGGCCUCCUGCCCCUGCUGGCGCUUCUAGAGGCACUCUCAUAAUGUUCUUUCAGGGACACCAGCUACAGCCAGCCCAAAUCCUUUCCUUACAGUACCAGAUCCGGGGCACCUCCUGCUCUCCCCUAGGUUUCAUUUGUCUUUAUCCUUUCCCUUUGUUCCCUGGGUCUCAGAUUUGUGACUGAUUUCUGAGUUAAUUCUGUGCUCAGUCCCUCUAACACCCAUGAAACCAAGCCUCUCCAUUAAAAUCUCUAUGUUGAAAAUCA